rnacentral:rRNA from 1 species
AACCAGGAUGUUGGCUUAGAAGCAGCCACUCAUUCAAAGAGUGCGUAAUAGCUCACUGGUCGAGUGAUCCUGCGCCGAAGAUUUCCGGGGCUAAAACUUACUACCGAAGCUACGGCAUCAGUAAUGACGGGUAGGGGAGCUUCCCAUACGGGUUGAAGCAUGACCGUAAGGACAUGUGGACAGUAUGGGAGUGAGAAUGUUGGCAUGAGUAGCGAGAUGUGGGUG